UAGGGAAUCUUCUACAAUGGACGAAAGUCUGAUAGAGCAACGCCGCGUGAGUGAUGAAGGUUUUCGGAUCGUAAAACUCUGUUGCGAGGGAAGAACAAGCAGGAACUAACUACUCUUGCCUUGACGGUACCUCGUUAGAAAGCCACGGCUAACUACGUGCCAGCAGCCGCGGUAAUACGUAGGUGGCAAGCGUUGUCCGGAAUUAUUGGGCGUAAAGCGCGCGCAGGCGGCCUUUUAAGUCUGAUGUGAAAGCCCACGGCUUAACCGUGGAGGUGCAUUGGAAACUGGAAGGCUUGAGGAUAUAAGAGGAAAGCGGAAUUCCACGUGUAGCGGUGAAAUGCGUAGAGAUGUGGAGGAACACCAGUGGCGAAGGCGGCUUUCUAGUAUAUAACUGACGCUG
rnacentral:rRNA from 1 species